rnacentral:lncRNA from 1 species
AUUUCUCAGUUUAUAAAAAAGUCCAUCAUGAUUAACAGUAUCAAAGGCUCUUCGUAGGUCAACAAAGCAUGUAAAGAAUUUUGUAUUGCCUUGUUGAGUAUACUUUUCUAUAAGAGUUCUCAAAACUAAAUGAUGAUCACUGGUGCGCUUGCCUUUACAGAAACCAAUUUGUUCCGGUUUAAUAAUAUUUCUACUUGCCAA